GGGGAUAUAGCUCAGCUGGGAGAGCACCUGCUUUGCAAGCAGGGGGUCGCGAGUUCGAAUCUCGCUAUCUCCACCA
rnacentral:tRNA from 2 species